rnacentral:rRNA from 1 species
AUGAACGAUGUAGCGGCCGUCGUUGUAGACCUCAGGGUGGGAAACCUCGACGCCUUCAACGAAGAGCCUGGCGUGGUGGACGGAGAAGGUGCCGCUCACGGUGUCGAUGUUGAGGCAGAGGUUGACGGAGGCCGAUGGAAUCUUGAUGGUGGGGGCGGCGGUGAGCUCGGAGUACGGGUAGUAGCCCAAGGCGAUGUGGUCCAGGAGGAGGCGGCGCAUCGAGCACAUGGAGCACGAGGUCUGGAUGGAGAUGUCGGGAGGCGCGAAGAUGGUGAUCGGCCCGUGCCACCUCGCGAGCGGCGGUAA